rnacentral:sRNA from 1 species
CAACAAUGCGAAAGGAGGUGAUCCGAUGUCUCAUGGUUCAGUAAAGAGGUCGGUUCAGUCGUUUCGGAGGAUGCGGGGCUAAGCCCCGCCUGAGUUCUCCGGCCGGCACUCCGGCCGCUGACCAUGUUCAGGGCUGCCAGGCACGAUGUGCCUGGCAGCCUU